UUGCUCCCAGGCGUCGAGCGGCGGACGGGUGAGUAACACUUAGGAAUCUACCUAGUAGUGGGGGAUAGCUCGGGGAAACUCGAAUUAAUACCGCAUACGACCUACGGGAGAAAGGGGGCAACUUGUUGCUCUCGCUAUUAGAUGAGCCUAAGUCGGAUUAGCUAGUUGGUGGGGUAAAGGCCUACCAAGGCGACGAUCUGUAGCUGGUCUGAGAGGAUGAUCAGCCACACCGGGACUGAGACACGGCCCGGACUCCUACGGGAGGCAGCAGUGGGGAAUAUUGGACAAUGGGGGCAACCCUGAUCCAGCCAUGCCGCGUGUGUGAAGAAGGCCUUUUGGUUGUAAAGCACUUUAAGCAGUGAAGAAGACCUAACGGUUAAUACCCGUUAGCGAUGACAUUAGCUGCAGAAUAAGCACCGGCUAACUCUGUGCCAGCAGCCGCGGUAAUACAGAGGGUGCAAGCGUUAAUCGGAAUUACUGGGCGUAAAGCGAGCGUAGGUGGCUUGAUAAGUCAGAUGUGAAAUCCCCGGGCUUAACCUGGGAACUGCAUCUGAUACUGUUAGGCUAGAAUAGGUGAGAGGAAGGUAGAAUUCCAGGUGUAGCGGUGAAAUGCGUAGAGAUCUGGAGGAAUACCGAUGGCGAAGGCAGCCUUCUGGCAUCAUAUUGACACUGAGGUUCGAAAGCGUGGGUAGCAAACAGGAUUAGAUACCCUGGUAGUCCACGCCGUAAACGAUGUCUACUAGUCGUUGGGUCCCUUGAGGACUUAGUGACGCAGCUAACGCAAUAAGUAGACCGCCUGGGGAGUACGGCCGCAAGGUUAAAACUCAAAUGAAUUGACGGGGGCCCGCACAAGCGGUGGAGCAUGUGGUUUAAUUCGAUGCAACGCGAAGAACCUUACCUGGUCUUGACAUAUCUAGAAUCCUGCAGAGAUGCGGGAGUGCCUUCGGGAAUUAGAAUACAGGUGCUGCAUGGCUGUCGUCAGCUCGUGUCGUGAGAUGUUGGGUUA
rnacentral:rRNA from 1 species